rnacentral:other from 1 species
UUUACCCUGCUUUGUGCGUGGGUUAUCUGGGGUUUUGAGCCAACAUUUUGCAAAACGGGAGUCCGGUUUCACGCAAGGAAAUGUAGACCUUACAUUGUAUAAGGAAACAGGAAACUGCGGAAGGGCACCCACCUGUUGGAGAACAGGUUCAAAAAACCUUAGGUAACAAACACGGCAUGGUGGGGUUUCC